UACGUAGGGGGCAAGCGUUGUCCGGAAUCAUUGGGCGUAAAGAGCGUGUAGGCGGUCCGGUAAGUCGGCUGUGAAAGUCCAGGGGCUCAACCCUGGGAUGCCGGUCGAUACUGCCGGACUAGAGUUCGGAAGAGGCGAGUGGAAUUCCCGGUGUAGCGGUGAAAUGCGCAGAUAUCAGGAGGAACACCAACGGCGAAGGCAGCUCGCUAGGACGGUACUGACGCUAAGGCGCGAAAGCGUGGGGAGCGAACAGG
rnacentral:rRNA from 1 species